rnacentral:rRNA from 1 species
GCUGAAGCUCAUCCGGUUCACCGGUGAAUCUGCCAUAGCUUUCAGUCUGCUCAGUGGUCCCGAGAUUCCCCCAGUAGCGGCGAGCGAACGGGGAGCAGCCCGGAGUCUGAAUCAGCUUGUGUGUUAGUGGAACGGUCUGGAAAGUCCGACGGUACAGGGUGAUAGUCCCGUACACGAAAAUGCACAUGCUGUGAACUCGAAGAGUAGGGCGGGACACGUGGUAUCCUGUCUGAAUAUGGGGGGACCAUCCUCCAAGGCUAAAUACUCCUGACUGACCGAUAGUGAACCAGUACCGUGAGGGAAAGGCGAAAAG